rnacentral:lncRNA from 1 species
CCCCAAAAUGCCCCAAAAUCCCCCUAAAAUGCCAAUAAAUUAAAUUAAAUCACAAAAAAAGUGCCUGAGUUCUUCUUGUGACCCCAAAAUCACCAGAAUCACCCCAAAUUCCCCCCAAAUCACCCUAAAAAUUCCAGUAAAUCUGAUUUAGUAAUCCUAAACUUGUCUGAGUCAUUCCUGUGACCCCAAAUCCCUCCUAUUUCCCACAAAAUCCUCACAAAAUCCCCCAAAAAUCCCUCCAAAAUCACCCGAUCAAUCCGGUUUAACGAUCCCAAAUGUGUCUGAGCUCUUCUUGUGACCCCAAAAUCACCAAAAUCCCCUCAAAAUCACCCUGAAAAUUCCAAUAAAUAAAAUUAAAUAAUCCCAGAUGUGUCUGAGUCUUUCUUGUGACCCAAAAUUCCCCCAAAAUCCCCCCCAAAAUUCCAAUAAAUCAGAGUCCCAAGUGAAUUUUGGGGCUCCCUCCCCAUUUCCACCGUAGCCACGCCCACUCCCACACAAACCACGCCCAUUUCACGAGACCACGCCCCUUUUCAGUUCAAGGCUCUUUAUUGGUUCAAAUCAAGGAAGGGGGGGGAGGGGUUAAAGGGGAAAUUGGGGCAAAAUUGGGGGAAUUUUGGUCAUUUUGGGUAAAUUUUGACGAUUUUAGAUCAAUUUGGGGCAGUUUUGGGUGAAUUUUGGGUUGAACUGGAACCAUUUUGGGUGAAUCUGGGACAAUUUUGGGUGAAUUUGGGACAAUUCUGGGUAAAUUGGGGUCACUUUGGGACAGAAAAUGAGGAGGAAUUCGGGGCAGUUUUGGGUCAUUCCAGGGCCGCUUUUUUUGGGGCAUUUUUUGGGAUUUUUUUAGGGUUGACUUUUUGGGGCAUUUUUUGGGGGGGACUUUUUGAAUUUUUUGUGGAUUUUUUUCGGUAUUUUUUCAGGAUUUUUUUUCGUGAUUUUUUUUUUUCCAGGAUUUUUGGGGGAUUUUUUCCUGUAUUUUUCCGGGCUAUUUUUGGGGCUAUUUCCGAGGAUUUCGGGUCCCUCAGGGCGGGGGCAGCGCCAGCAGCGGCGGCAGCAGCUCGGCGCCGUCCCCGCGCCCCCCGCCCGCCUCGGCCGAGUGUUUGCAUUUCUCGGAGCCGCACUGGCACGGGAAAUAUUUGCUCUUGAUGUCCCAGAACCGAUCCCCGUAGUCAAACCUGGAAUUGGGGCAAAAAAUUCGGAAAUUCAGAAAAGGGGGUGGGCGAAAAUCGGACAGAAAUUGGCCUGAAAUGUCCUGAAAUUUUCCUUAAAUGUUGGCCUGAAAUGGCCCUAAAUGUCCUAAAAUGUCCUAAAUGUCCUUGAAUGUCCUAAAUGUCCUUAAAUUUCCUCUAAAUUUCUUUAAAUGGCUCCAAAUUUACCCUAAAUGUCCUUAAAUGGCUCAAAAUGUCUUUAAAUGACCUUAAAUCGUCCCUAAAUGUCCCAAAAUUGUCCCUAAGUUGACCCCAAUGAAUCUUAAUAAAAACCCAAUAAAUCUCUAUCA